GUGUUAUGUGAAACAAGAAGAGGUGAGCUAUGAUGAGAAUGGAAAAGGUCCUAGCUGCCUUUACAUUACAUAUAUGGUUAAGACAUUACCAUCCACUCUAUGGUAUCUAAUUAUGUUUUUUU